CAGCAGCCGCGGUAAUACGAAGGGGGCAAGCGUUGUUCGGAAUUACUGGGCGUAAAGGGCGCGUAGGCGGUUUCUUAAGUCUGAUGUGAAAGCCCCCGGCUCAACCGGGGAGGGUCAUUGGAAACUGGGAAACUUGAGUGCAGAAGAGGAGAGUGGAAUUCCACGUGUAGCGGUGAAAUGCGUAGAGAUGUGGAGGAACACCAGUGGCGAAGGCGACUCUCUGGUCUGAAACUGACGCUGAGGAGCGAAAGCGUGGGGAGCAAACAGGAUUAGAUACCCGCGUAGUCCCUGUCUCUUAUAA
rnacentral:rRNA from 1 species